rnacentral:rRNA from 1 species
CCUACGGGUGGCAGCAGUGAGGAAUAUUGGUCAAUGGACGCAAGUCUGAACCAGCCAUGCCGCGUGCAGGAUGACUGCUCUAUGAGUUGUAAACUGCUUUUGUACGAGGGUAAACGCAGAUACGCGUAUCUGUCUGCAAGUAUCUUACGAAUAAGGAUCGGCUAACUCCGUGCCAGCAGCCGCGGUAAUACGGAGGAUUCAAGCGUUAUCCGGAUUUAUUGGGUUUAAAGGGUGCGUAGGUGGGUUGUUAAGUCAGUUGUCAAAUUUGGGGGCUCAACCCCAUCCUCGCAUUUAAAACUGGCGGUCUUGAGUGGAAGAGAGGUAUGCGGAAUGCGUGGUGUAGCGGUGAAAUGCAUAGAUAUCACGAAGAACCCCGAUUGCGAAGGCAGCAUGCCGGCUUGCGACUGACGUUGAAGCACGAAAGUGUGGGGAUCGAACAGGAUUAGAUACCCCAGUAGUC